rnacentral:lncRNA from 1 species
UUAUGAUAUAUGGCGAAAACAAUCUUCAAGAAUCACCCCAAAUCGUCUCGCGUGAGCUCCUAGAACGUAAAAGGGAUAAAAUGAGCUCAAAAUUCCGAAAUUAGAUGUUCAAUAAACAUGUCGGACCUCCUUCUACAUGAUCACAGUUAUUAUCCAUGCGAUUGGAAUCAACAAAAGUUCCAGUAUUGUUUCCUUCAUCGCGAUCGCGGCCAAAACCUCGUGAUCGCGUACAAAUUUUGAUUCCUCUUCACAGAUAUCUUUCGGUAUAAUCUCAGUAACAUUUUUGUACAAAAUCCAAAAUGACAAAUUGUUUAAUAUGAAAACUAGAUUGAAAGAGCUACAACUUUUAUUUAUGGAUCAUCCCCAAAUCCCUUUUAGAUUGCAAGAUAUAAGUCCCCGUAUCAGAUCAUUGAAAGUAGAAAUCCUUCUUCGCGAUCGCAACCUUUCUUCUGCGAUCGCGAUUCAUGAGGCCUGGAACAACACUUUUCUCUUCCUCAUUCGCGGCCUUUUAUUCGCGAUCGCGAAGAAUGAUGCACCAGAUCUCAGAAACAGCAGUUCAAACAUGGCAAAAUGAUGCGUAGCCCAUCAGAAAUACAUCCGAGGCCACCGGGACCCCGUCAAAUCGUACCAACUAUUCCCAAAAUAUGAUGCAAACAUGCUCGAUGUCUCAAAUGAUAUCAAACGAUAUCCAAACUAAGAAUCCACGAUCAAAACCCUUCUUUCAACUUUAAAACUUCGCUGAACGCGUCGAAAUUACGCUUAAACAUUCCGGAAAGAUGCCAAACUUUAUGUGCAAGUCACAAAUCACAAUACAAACCUAUUCCAAGGCUCGGAAUCCCAAACGGACAUCAAUAAUAUCAAAGUUCACUUUAAAUAAAUCUUAGAAAAUUUUAUAACCUUCUAAAUGUCAACUUUCCACAAUAAGCAUCAAAAUACUUUUGGACCACCCGAUACUCAACAUGAACAUACUGCCAAGUCCAAAAUUAUCAUACGAAUCUAUUGGAACCUUCAAAUUCCAUUCUGAGAUCCAUUACUCAAUAAUUAAGCUUGGUCAACUCGUCCAACUUAAAACUUUCUAAUUGAGAAUUUUCCAUCUGAAUCAACUCUGAACUUCCCGAAAUUCUAUUCCUACUAUACGUGCAAGUCAUAACACAAGAAGUGACGCUAUACUUAAGGCCUCAAACAGUCGAAUAACACAAUAAAACUCAAAACGAUUGGUCAGAUCGUUAUAUCAUCGACUCAAGCAUAAGACCAAGUUUAUACAUAUGGGGUCGUUUGGUUCAAAACGAGAGUAUGUCAAGAUUAUAAUAUUUUGGAUUUAAGAUCUGGAUAACUUAUCUUGUUUUUUAUAUGAGAUAAGUUGUACUAAAAUUUUGAUAUAAAAAAUAUUUAUUU